GACGAACGCUGGCGGCGUGCUUAACACAUGCAAGUCGAACGGAAAGGCCCUGCUUUUGUGGGGUGCUCGAGUGGCGAACGGGUGAGUAACACGUGAGUAACCUGCCCCUGACUUUGGGAUAACUUCAGGAAACUGGGGCUAAUACCGGAUAGGAGCUCCUGCUGCAUGGUGGGGGUUGGAAAGUUUCGGCGGUUGGGGAUGGACUCGCGGCUUAUCAGCUUGUUGGUGGGGUAGUGGCUUACCAAGGCUUUGACGGGUAGCCGGCCUGAGAGGGUGACCGGCCACAUUGGGACUGAGAUACGGCCCAGACUCCUACGGGAGGCAGCAGUGGGGAAUAUUGCACAAUGGGCGGAAGCCUGAUGCAGCAACGCCGCGUGCGGGAUGACGGCCUUCGGGUGGUAAACCGCUUUCGCCUGUGACGAAGCGUGAGUGACGGUAAUGGGUAAAGAAGCACCGGCUAACUACGU
rnacentral:rRNA from 1 species